AUUGAACGCUGGCGGAAUGCUUUACACAUGCAAGUCGAACGGUAGAGGGGGCAACCCCUCGAGAGUGGCGAACGGGUGAGUAAUAUAUCGGAACGUGCCCAGUCGUGGGGGAUAACGUAGCGAAAGUUACGCUAAUACCGCAUACGAUCUAAGGAUGAAAGCGGGGGAUCGCAAGACCUCGCGCGAUUGGAGCGGCCGAUAUCAGAUUAGGUAGUUGGUGGGGUAAAGGCCCACAAAGCCAACGAUCUGUAGCUGGUCUGAGAGGCACGACCAGCCACACUGGAACUGAGACACGGUCCAGACUCCUACGGGAGGCAGCAGUGGGGAAUUUUGGACAAUGGACGCAAGUCUGAUCCAGCCAUUCCGCGUGCAGGAUGAAGGCCCUCGGGUUGUAAACUGCUUUUGUACGGAACGAAAAGGUCUCUCUUAAUACGGGGGACUCAUGACGGUACCGUAAGAAUAAGCACCGGCUAACUACGUGCCAGCAGCCGCCGUAA
rnacentral:rRNA from 1 species